AACGGCCGUACCAUGCUGAUUAUACCGGUUCUCGUUAGAUCACCGAAGUCAAGCAUCAUUGGGCGCGGUCAGUACUUCAGGUGGGUGACCACCUGGGAACACUGCGUGCC
rnacentral:rRNA from 1 species